AUGCUUACUUCCACAGCACAUAUACUAAAAUUGGAACAAAACAGAGAUUAGCAUGAACCCUGCUCAAGGAUGACAUUCAAAUUUGUGAAGCAUUCCACAUUUUU
ensembl:snRNA U6 U6 spliceosomal RNA